AAAUUACAAAUUUACUGAUUUCAGAUCGAUGAAGAGGGUAAAUAUAUAUUAGAAAAAGGUCUUGCAGAUUUUGAUAAUCUUAUAUCUGACGAAGCCAAGAGAAACCAAGCGAAGGACACUGUUCGCAAGUGCUAUGAAACACUUGAAUAUAAAGGACCCAAAGAAGCUAAUACAGAACAGACAAUGAAGGGUGUCCAGUGUGCGUUGCCUACGGUAGCUCUUAUCGACAAACCCUAAUUGAAGAAAUACAUUCUUUUCUUUACGUAAAACUCUUUCUAUGUAAAAAAAUAAUAGCAGGUUGUAGAAAUCCCGCAUUAAUAAUCUUUAUUUUAUGUGUUUUUAAUAUACUUUAAAGGUUUCUUGUUGCUUUUUCUUAAACUGUAACUGAGUUGUUUGUGCUAAUAAUGCAAUAAAAUAUAACAUUUGUUUUUUUCAAAA